rnacentral:rRNA from 1 species
UACGUAGGGUGCAAGCGUUGUCCGGAUUUAUUGGGCGUAAAGAGCUCGUAGGCGGUCUGUCGCGUCUGCUGUGAAAACUCGGGGCUUAACCCCGGGCCUGCAGUGGGUACGGGCAGACUAGAGUGCGGUAGGGGAGACUGGAAUUCCUGGUGUAGCGGUGAAAUGCGCAGAUAUCAGGAGGAACACCAGUGGCGAAGGCGGCCUCUGGACCAGUACUGACGCUCAUGCACGAAAGCGUGGGGAGCAAACAGG